AUUUUUGAGGUGAAAAGUGCCGGUUUUGAGGUAAAAAAAGUCGAUUUGGAGGUUAAAUUGUGAAUUUUGGAGGUCGGGAGGAAAUCCUGAAGUAAAAAUUGCAGAUUUUGAGGUGAAAAGUGCAAAUUCUGAGGGGAAAAGUGCAGAUUUUGGGGUAAAAAUGCAGAUUUUGGGAUGAAAAGUGCAGAUUCUGAGGAGGAAAGUGCAGAUUUUGAGUGAAAAGUGCAGAUUUAGAGGGAAAAAAAGUGCAUUUGGGGGUGAAAAAAGCGGAUUUUGGGGUGGAAAGUGCAGAUUUUGGGGUAAAAAUGCUGAUUUUUGAGGUGAAAAGUGCAGGUUUUGAGGUGGAAAGUGCCGAUUUUGGGGUCUGGGGCAGAUUUUGUGGAGGGUGAGGAAAUCGUGAGGUAAAAAGUGCAGAUUUUGAGAUAAAAAUGCAGAUUUUUGGGGUGAAAAUGAAGAUUUUUGAGGUUAAAAUGAAGAUUUUUUGGGAUGAAAAUGCAGAUUUUGGGGUAAAAUUUCAGAUUUUGAGGUACAAAGUGCCGGUUUUGAGGUUAAAAAAGUUGAUUUGGAGGUUAAAUUGUGAAUUUUGGAGGUCGGGAGGAAAUCCUGAAGUAAAAAGUGCAGGUUUUGAGGUGAAAAGUGCAGAUUUUUGGGGUAAAAAUGCAGAUUUUGGGGUGAAAAGUGCAGAUUUUGGGGACAUAGGGUAAUCAUAAAAAAAGUGGAGGUUUUGAGGUAAAAAGUGCAGAUUUUGGGGUAAAAAUGCUGAUUUUUGAGGUGAAAAAUGCAGGUUUUGAGGUGAAAAGUGCAGAUUUUGGGAUCUGAGGCAGAUUUUGUGGAGGGUGAGGAAAUCGUGAGGUAAAAAGUGCAGAUUUUGAGAUAAAAAUGCAGAUUUUUGGGGUGAAAAUUAAGAUUUUUGGCGUGAAAAUGAAGAUUUUUGGGAUGAAAAUGCAGAUUUUGGGGUAAAAUUUCAGAUUUUGAGGUAAAAAAAGUCGAUUUGGAGGUUAAAUUGUGAAUUUUGGAGGUUGGGAGGAAAUCCUGAAGUAAAAAUUGCAGAUUUUGAGGUGAAAAUGCAGAUUUUGGGGUAAAAUUUCAGAUUUUGAGGUGAAAAGUUCAGAUUUUGGGGUAAAAAUGCUGAUUUUUGAGGUGAAAAGUGCAGGUUUUGAGGUGGAAAGUGCCGAUUUUGGGGUCUGGGGCAGAUUUUGUGGUGGGUGAGGAAAUCGUGAGGUAAAAAUGCAGAUUUUGAGACAAAAAUGCAGAUUUUCGGGGUGAAAAUGAAGAUUUUUGAGGUAAAAAUGCAGAUUUUUGGGAUGAAAAUGCAGAUUUUGGGGUAAAAUGUCAGAUUUUGAGGUAAAAAAAGGCGAUUUGGAGGUUAAAUUGUGAAUUUUGGAGUCCGGGAGGAAAUCCUGAAGUAAAAAGUGCCGAUUUUGGGGGUAAAAAUGCAAAUUUGUGGGUGAAAAAGGAAAUCUUGGGAUAUGGGGAGAAAAUUGUGAGGUAAAAAAUUCAGAUUUUGGUGUCUGGCUGCAGAUUUUGGGGUGAAAAUGAAGAUUUUGGGGGGACUGGAACGGUUUUGGGUGGGAAAAUGCAGAUUUUGGGGCGAGGAGGAGAAAUUUUGAGGUGAAAAUUGGAGAUUUUGGGGUGGAAAAUGUCAAUAUUGAGGUUGAAGGGUCAAUAUUGAGGUGAAAAAGGCAAAUUUGGGACUAAAAACAGCUGAUUUUGGGGCAAAAAUGGCAAAUUUCAGGCAAAAA